GUCUACGGCCAUACCACCCUGAAUGCACCCAAUCUCAUCUGAUCUCAGAGCUAAGCAGGGUCAGGCCUGGUUAGUACUUGCAUGAGAGAAAAUGGACACCCUGCAGCCUUCCAGACG
rnacentral:rRNA from 1 species